rnacentral:rRNA from 1 species
AGAGAGAGACAUGCGCGCAUAUCAAUAAGCGGAGGAAAAGAAACUAACAAGGAUUCCCUUAGUAACGGCGAGUGAAGCGGGAAGAGCUCAAAUUUGAAAUCUUCAAGGUUUUACCUUGACGAAUUGUAGUUUAAAGAAGUGUUUUCUGCUGAAGUUUUGGUAAAAGUUCUUUGGAAUAGGACAUCAUAGAGGGUGAGAAUCCCGUAUUUGACCAUUAUUUUCAGCUUUGUGAUACACUUUCAAAGAGUCGGAUUGUUUGGGAAUGCAGUCCAAAAUGGGCUGGUAAAUUUCAUCUAAAGCUAAAUAUUGGCGAGAGACCGAAUAGCGAACAAGUACCGUGAGGGAAAGAUGAAAAGAACUUUGAAAAGAGAGUUAAACAGUACGUGAAAUUGUCAAAAGGGAAGCGUUUGACACCAGUGUUGUUUUCUCGAAAAUCAAUUAAAAAUGGCUCGAUUUUGUAUUGCUUGAGACCUUAAAAGCUCACUGUACACUUUUCGUGUCUUUUUUAAUGCACUUUUCGUUUAACAAGUCAACAUCAGUUUCUUUUGUUGUAAAAGGGUCAUUGGAAGGUGGCUUUCUUUUCGGAGAAAGUGUUUAUAGCCUUUGGCCUCUGCAAUCGAAGAGACUGAGGUCUGCAGCGUAGACUCUUCGGGGUUAGAUACAUUUGUGCUAAGUUAUAGCUUUUUAUAGACAACUUGUUGACUAUAAUUAGUCUUGUAGCUUACUCGCUUAUGCUAUUUUACCUACGCUUAGGAUGUUGAGUCGUAGAGCACGCAG